AUACCAAAAAAGAAACUUUUGGUGAGCAGUUCUGGCUCCGGCUGUGGCCUUGUUUAUUAUUUAUGCUGUAACCAAUGCUUCCCUAAUGGAAGGGUAAUGCUUGCCUAGCUACAUAAAAUAAUGCCUCAGUUUUCUCUGGGGAAUUAAUAAUUUGCUCAUGUCACCCCAAAGCUCUCACACGCUUGUGCGGUAGUUUUCCAAACAGUGAGCAGUGCGCCCCAAUGGCAUGGCAGAGAGAAUUCCCAAGCUGAGAAUCAGAAGACCUGCAGUUUUGUCUGGCUUUGCUAAGUGACUUUUGGAUCUUGGACUUCUGUUUUCACAUCUACAGAAUUAUGCCAUUGAAUAACAUGUUCUCUAUGCUUUCUUCUAGCGAAAAACUCUCUUAAUUCUUUUUCUAGAAUCAUGAAAUUGAGUUGGCAGUCUUUGCUUGGUCAGAGCCUGAUGUUUCCUGAAUUUAGAACUUGGUUCCCCCGAGACCCUCUGGACUAAUUUAAAAUGAUUCAUCCGCGUGAGUCAUUGCCCUGCUGCCUUCAGGACAAGAUGUCUAUCUAUUGUCUUGCUGCUACCAUUUUUUACAAAUAACUCCAGCUCAGCAGCUGCAGACUCGAGACCCUGCACCUGGUGACAUCGGCCGGAAGACAUCAGCUGGCUCUCUGCAGACACACCUGGAGGGAGGGUUUGGGAGGAAGGGGGCUGGGGCCUCCGGUCUGACCACCUCUGAAACACCAUCCCAGGCUGUCUCUGAGGUUCAUGUGGUUUGGGUCAGAUUCUCAGUAGAAUGAGAGGCAUUUCAGGGACCUUCCAAGUCCUGAAAGAAGCCACUGGGCAAAUAAUUGGGUGUCACAUUCCUUUUAGAGCCAGAAGGAAACAACAUCCUAUCAGAAGGAAGGGGAAUUUCCUGCCAUGAAAAGGAAUCUUAGAGCAAAACCGAGUCAUGGUUUUGCCCGAAUUUUAAAAUCCUGUUGCUUAUAUGGAAGCAUAUGGGUCCUAACAAUUUCUCUUUCAAAAUCCUCAUAGUGAAUGACAUUAUGGCCAUGUUUCUCCCUCAAGUGUGUCUUAAAAAUGCAUCUAGAGUCUAACUAUAAAGGCAUCAUUCAGUUGUAAUAAUUAACAUCUUAUUUGCAUUCAGUACAAUUCUAAGUUCCACAUAAGUGUCUAAUCUGGUGAUGGGCGUUGUAUGAUUGCUAAGUAAAUAUUUGCCGUUGGUUAUAAAGAAUGAAUAAGAUGGGCACGGCCCUGUUUUCCUGUUGUCGUAGCCCAGGGUUGCCUUCUCUAUAAACUAUGUGUGACUGCAGCUGAAUCAGUGAAGCCAUCACCACCGGCCUCAUGCAUCACUGUCCUGUGGACCUGUGAGUAGUUCCAACACUCCCAUGUGGUCAGCCUGCUUUACUUGAAACUCAGUUACAUAAACCUGUUGAAGAUAAUGCUGCUAUGUGAUUGCUGACAACUUUCCAAAUGCCCUGUUUGCUGCUCAAGCUGAUGUUCCCAAGGAGAGAGUUGCAAGUAUUGGAGGAAGCACCACCCUCAGGGAAUGAGCUUGCAAUCUGCUUCUCUGUGGCCCUGGGUCAGUCCCAAUGUGAGCAUGCCAAAGAGGACCCAGGCUGACGUUGGGGUUUCCAUCCGUUCAGAAUGACUUGAUCCUUCCCUACCAAUUAGAACUAAUUAGGGUCUCUGGGUGCCAUGAAGAUCACGAGAAAUGCAGAGUCUACUCCUGAAUUGCUUUGUUUCAUCAAAUGUCUGUGGCUAGAUAUCAACUAGGGUUGCCAUUUCCUGCUUCAGUUCAAAUCAGACCGAUAAUUGCGUUCUGCAGUUGUCUCCAGCUAGCUGGUCCUCCCUUCCAGGCCCUCUCUCUGCCAGUCUGCUCUGUGCUUCAGGAGAAUAAUCCUCCUGCCAUAGAUUGAUGGAUGCCUGCACACUGCUUUCACUUCCCAUUUUAAGACCUCAUCCCUCCAGGCAGCCUCCCUUGGUUUGGAAUCUUGGCUGUGAAUUGCCAAACCUCAAGCCCCCUGCAGACUUACUUAGCUCUGCGUCCCUAUAACAUCCCAUAGCUCCAGCCGUAUCCGUCUGCAUCCCAGCCCGCAGUGCGGUCAAGAGCUGUAAAGUCACUUCUCUCCUUCUGGCUGGUUGUUUAUGUGGACUGACUGUCCUGCUGGCUGCCUUUGCUGAUGAGAGUGUUGCCUUCCACAGAGAUCAGGCCACCUGGGAGAGCCACUUCUGUCCACCCAUCCCUGAGGGGAUGCUUCUCCGUCCCUUCUGCAUGCCUCCUGCACUCGGUGGCUGUGCUCUGGGAGAGUUACCCUGCGAUCUACACUUUCGGCUGCACCACCCUCUGCAGUGAAGAGUGUCUAAGGUUUCCCUACUGCACAGAACACUCGAGAUCCGUGGUGUGACAGGAAGAGCUUUCCAGCUGCGUGGCCUUGGGCCGUCUUACUCUCUGGGCCUCAGUUUCCUCAUUGGUAGCAUGGAGCACUGAAAGCUACGAACAGGAGCUGUGAGGGUGAAUGGAGGAUUCAUGCCAGAGCCUGGUGGGAUGCCCCUGCAGAGCAGAUGCUCAGGAAACCCUCCUGCCAGCUCCUGGGGAGCACGGGAGGCGCUGGCUCCUUAGUUCUCUAUGGAAGGACGGUUCUGCACCAGAUAUUAUUAUUAGAGUCUCUUAUUUGGAAUUCUGGACUUGUGUGCUCGACAGGGGCCUCAAGUCCCCAGUGUCGCUCAAUAGUGACAAACCCAAAUAAAAGAUCCUGGCAAAUGAUUAGCAGCCUUUCCUGCUGCUGUGCUCAUAAACGCUGUUGCUAUUUUUGGGCCAGCAUUGUUCAACCUGGAUUUAGUUCUCCUUUGCUGUCUAUUUUGGCUCUGACCUGCUCUGAAAGGGCAGGCUCCACGCCGGGUGUCACGCCCAAUGGCUUCUCCACGGUCUUUGUCCAAAUGGACUCAGUGAGGAUAUCACCAGCGGAAAAGUAAAAGAUGAGAGGACUUGAAAAAAAUAUCUUCCAUUCAGAAUCUUUUUAAAAAUAUACUUUCAAACAAAGAGGUAUUAUAGAAAGCAUUUUGCUUUUUCGUUUAAAGCUAAAGAAAAUCAGAGUCACCUAGAAAUGUGAGUUACUGGAGGAAGAGAGGAAUGGUUAAGAUCAUUCUACAGUGUCUAUAUGUACUUAUAUAUCCCAGUGUCUGUGUGUACAUGCGUGUAUGUCUGUGUAUGUAUGUGUGUCUGUGUGUGUCUCUCCAUGUGUCUGCCUAUAUAUCUGCAUGUGUAUACGUGUGUAUGUAUAUCUGUGUAUGUACAUGUGUAUAUAUGUGUAUGUCCGUGUGUGUCUCUGUGUGUCUCUGUGUGCAUGUAUGUGUAUAUGUGUGUCUGUAUGUAUACAUGUAUGUCUGUGAGUCUCUUUGUGUGUCUGCCUGCAUAUCUGCGUGUGUGUGUGUAUGCUCUGUGUGCGUUUGUAUAUGUCUGUGUGUCUGUGUAUACACAUGUGUGUCUGUGAGUCUCUCUGUAGGCGUCUCUCUGUGUGUCUGCCUGCAUAUCUGCAUGUGUGUAUGUGUGUAUGGUCUGUGUGUGUUUGUAUGUGUGUCUUUGUGUCUAUGUGUAUUCAUGUGUUUCUGUGGGUCUCUCUGUGUGUCUGCUGCAUAUGUGCAUGUAUGCAUGUGUGUAUGGUCUGUGUGUGUUUGUAUGUGUGUCUGUGUGUCUAUGUGUACGCAUGUGUGUCUGUGAGUCUCUCUGUGUGUCUGCCUGCAUAUCUACAUGUGUGUAUGUGUGUAUGGUCUGUGUGUGUUUGUAUGUGUAUCUGUCUGUGUCUGUGUGUAAUUCUUUAUCUCCUCCGUUUUCUGAGCAGGCUGGUCCUUUGAAUCCCAGGAGAUAAUUUUUCCUUAUACUUACUAGAGGAGUCUGUCAAUACAGUAGAAGCACAAUGUAAAUGGGGGAUUAACACCUUGAGAUAAUUUGAAUCCACUGUCAUUCACCCUUUCUGAAAUGCACAAGCUUGCAGGCACCUACCCUCCUGCUACAGGACAGAAAAAAACACGGUGGUUUUAUUUCCAUUUCUUAUCACACGGUGUCCACUGCCUGAGCUGCACAGGGAGGCAUUUUGUCAUUUCACUGUAGGGGUCUCCUGUGGCCCCGAAUCUCAUGUGUUUGUGUCCCUAGGAGCUGCAGCCCCAACCAUGUCAUGAAGAGGGGUCGGCACGGGGGCUUCUGGCUGUGGCACACACACGUGUUAACCUAUAAGGCUCACUUCCUGCCCACAAGGGUCAGAGUGUUGUUUUUUUUUUUUUGAGACGGAGUCUCCCUCUGUCGCCCAGGCUGGAGUGCAGUGGCGCGAUCUGGGAUCACUGCAAGCUCCGCCUGCCGGGUUCACGCCAUUCUCCUGCCUCAGCCUCCUGAGUAGCUGGGACUACAGGAAUCUGCC
rnacentral:lncRNA from 1 species